CAGCCCAGCCCCACAGGAACAGGAGAGAGCAGGACCUCUGCUCUCUGCACUGCUGCGUCCCCAACUAGAACAGUGUCUUAAUCAUAGCAGACGUUCACGAUUUAUUUGAAAACAAUGUGGUGGUAACCAUGAAAACCAACAUCCACAACCAUGCCGAAAACCAGCAAACUGGCAGCCACUGGAAGGAGACAGAGCAGGCAGGGCUGGAGCUCCUUCAAAGCCCCAUUCCCAGAGAACUGUCAUUAUCUGACCUGCCUGGUGGUUUCCUAGAAGACCCUACUUGUAAGGCUGUCUUUAUUUGACCUGACUCAGAGCCCUCCUAUUGCAAAAAGUCUCUUGGUGGGGAGGGGAGGAAGUAUUUGUUAAAAAUAAUCACAGGUAAUUGUUGAAUAUCAUGCUGCCUGAGGAUGUGGCUAACAGUAUGGGCAAAACACAGGCUAACCAAACAGCUUAAAAAGAAAAGUAGGGGUAUGACAUGUCCAUACAGCACUUUGAAAAGCUUUUAUAUAUAUCUGGGAACCUAGAAGGCCAUGAACAUGCAUCGGGCUGUGCACAUGCCCAGGGAAGACCUGAGAAGGCCCUAAGCUCUCAUCUCUGGUUGACUGUAAGGCUGUGUACAGGCAGGAGGUGAGGCUAAGGAAGAGCUGAAAACUGCAUGGUGAGUAUUAAAGGCAAGCACCAAUGAGUACACAGAGCCCCUAAGCAAAGACUGGGAGACUUAGUUCCAGGCAUCUAAGGAAAUCUUCAUCCAUUCAUUAGCUAACCGCUAAGCAAAUCAAGCAGAGAUUUAAGUGGCUACACACACACACACACACACACACACACACACACACACACUACAGACUUUACAAAAUUUUCCAAAAAGUCACUAAAACAAUAGUAACAUCAUCAACCCCUGGGGAAGGUGCAGAAUCUGAUUUCCAGGGUUGCUGUAUUAUUUUAAAUGUUCUGUUGUCUACAAGAAAUUAUGAGACAUUCAAAGAAACAAGAAGGUACGGCCCAUUAAUGUGGGGAGGGGGGUAGGUAGGGCAGGAAGGAAGCAGCCAAUAAAGAGGUGGAAAUUAUAAAGAAAAGAGGCAAACAGAAAUUCUGGAAUUGAAAGUCAUAAUAACCAAAACAAAAAAUCCACAACCAAUCUGAACAGACAAAAGAAAGGAUCAGUAAACUUGAAGAUAGGCCAAUUGAGAUUAUCCAGUCUGAGGAACUGAAAGAAAAAAGGAAAAGAAAGAGCCCAAGCAUAUGCAUAGGGCAGUGGCAGAAGGAGAGGAGCGAGAAAGAGAGAAGGGCAAAAAUGUUUGAAGAAAUAAUGGCUGAAAACUUACCAAAUGUGAUGAAAAACAAUCUACAUGCCCAAGAAGCUCAAGGAACUCCAAGUAUAAUAAAGUCAGAGAGCCACACCUAGACUCGUCAUAAUCAAACUACUGAAAGCCAGAGCCUCAAAAGCAGCAAGAGAAGAAAGAGACUCAUCGCAUUGGAGGGAUCCUCGGUAAGAUUAACAACUGGUUUCUCAUCCAAAGAAACCACGGAUACCAGAAAGCCUCCAUUCAAACUGCUGAAAGAAAAAGACUGUCAACCAAGAAUUCUUUACCAACAAAACUGUCCUUCAAAAGUGAGGAAGAAAUUAGGGCGUUCCCAGAUAAACAAAAACUGGAAGAAUCUGUCACUAACAAACCUACCCUAUGAGAAAUAUUAAAGGAGGCCUUUCAGACUGAAAUGAAAGCACACUAAACAUUAACUCAAAUACACGUGAAUAAAGAGCCCAAAAAAGGUAACUACAUAGGUAAAUAUAAAAGACGGUAUAAAUAGGUUGUAACAUUUUUUUCUCUAAUCUGAUUUAAAAAACAACUGCAUUAAGCAGUAAUUAUAAAUCUGUGUUGAUAGGCAUAUCAUGUAUAAAGAUGUUAAUUUGUGUGACAAUAAUAGCAGGAGGGAACAGGGAGAAAUAAAGCUUUAUAUCAAAGCAAAGAUUGUGUAUACUAGUUGCAAAGUUGGUGUUAACCCAAACUAUGUUAUUACCAGUUAAGAUGUUAACUGUUAACACUUAGGGUAGCUUCUAAAAAAAUAACUCAGAAAAAAUAAAGUAAAAGAAAUGACAAGAGAGUGAAAAUGUAUAAAAACUAUCUAACACAAAAUAAGGCAGCACUGUAGGAACAAAGAAACAAAACAGACAUGACCUAGGAAACCAAGAGCAAAAUGACAGACAUAAAUCCUACCCUAUCAGUAAUGACAUUAAAUGUAAAUGGAUUAAACACUUCAAUUAAAAACUGGUCCAAUUACAUGCUCUCUACAAGAGAAACAUUUUAGAUUCAAAGACAAACAGACCAGGGGUGCCUGGGUGGCUUAGUCAGUUGAGUGUCUUACUUCCACUCAGGUCAUGAUCUCACGGUUGGGAGUUUGAGCCCUGCAUCAGGCCCGCUGCUGUUAGCCCAGAGCCCACUUCUGAUCUGUGUCUCCCUCUUUCUGCCCCUCCCCCACUCGUGCGCGUACACGUGUCCUCUUUCUCUCUCUCUCUCUCUCUCUCAAAAAUAAAUAAACAUUGAAAAAAAAAAGGCUAAAAGUGAAAGGCUGGAAAAAGAUAUAGCAUGCACUGGUAACCAAAAGAGUGCUGGAAUGAUUAUACUAUCAGACAAAACAGACUUUAAGACAAAAUUUGUCACUAAAGACAAAGAAUGAAUUUUAUAAUGAUAAAAGGGCUCGUCCACCCAUAAUUGCAUAUAUGCACUUAACAACAGAGCCCCAAAAUACAUGAAGCAAAAACCGACACAACAGAAGAGAGAAAUACACAAUUCAACAAUAUUAGAGACUUCAAUAUCCCACUUUCAAUAAUGCAUAGAAUAACUAAACACACAAGGAAAAAGACUUAAUCAACAUACAAAUCAACUAGACCUAAGAGAUACCCACAGAACUCAAGAGCAGAAUAUACAUUUUUUUUUUUUUUAAUAUUUAUUUAUUUUUGACAGAGAGACAGAGCAUGAGCAAGGGAAGGGCAGAGAGAGAGGGAGACAGAGAAUCCAAAGCAGGCUCCAGGCUCUGAGCUGCCAGCACAGAGCCUGACGUGGGGCUUGAACUCAGACCAUGAAAUCAUGACCUGAGCCGAAGUUGGACGCUCAACCCACUGAGCCACCCAGGUACCCCCAGAAUACACAUUCUUCUCCAGCACAUACAAAACAUUCUCCAGGGUAAACCAUAUGUUAGGCCGUUAAAAAGUCUCAAUAAAUUUAAAAGAACUGAAAUAAUACAAAGUAUGUUCUCCAACCAUACGGAAUGAAAUUAAAAAUCAAUAACACAAUGGUGGGUCUUAGACUGCUGUGCUGUUCAGUCUCAUUUCCUCUUGUGUUUCACUUCUUCAUAUCCUUCCCACUCACUGCUGAUAGUAUCUUUGUAUAGUAACCCCCCCCACCGCCGUUGUAGAUGCUAAUUUGCCCUUAUAAUCUAUUAGAAGUUUGGAGAUGGAACCAUCGAACUUGCAGAACAAAAGAAUAAGGCUCAGUAUAAAACCUCAAGGAGCUCUGCCUUGAAGAAUCAGGAAGCAUUAGGGAUCAGUAUUUGGAGCAUCUUAUUCUAGCCACCUAGGAGCCAGCCUAGUUCUUAGGCAGGCAAGGUUAAUGGGCAGCCUAAAGGCCCAGGAAGGCACCAGUAUAAUGCAAAUCAGUUCCAUGACAACCAGCGGUUAAGAAACAUUACUUCUUCCAUUAUUAAGGAAAAAAAAUUCCCAGCCUUCUGAUAUAAAGAUGUUCAACAUUCCUUUAUAAGCCAGUCAGACUAACAAAAGAAAGACCUUCUCUUUUUACAUAUUUUGCUCUAAAUUCCAAUUUCCUUUGAGGACAUGCCUUCCCAUAAAAAGAACAUCAUCAAUCUUACCCUUCCCUGUACUGUUUUAUACUUAAAAUCACUAUCACAGGGUUUUACGCUCACAUUUUUCUAAACUGCUUCAUGAACAUGUUUUUGUCUCCUUAACCAGACUUAAAGCCCUUGAGGGGAAAAAAAGGCCAUUCAUGUUUCAUUCUCCUUUUUGUAGUUCCCUACCCGCUCAGAGAGCUGUGCUGGGCUCAUUAAUGCUCCCUUAACAAAUACUGGUUAACUCAGAGGGUCAUUUGGGUGUGUCCUAAUAUACUGGUGUGUCCCAAACAACUUCUAGGUGUGCCAAGAUAACAACCCCUUUGGGUCUGGGGCAGGGGGUGCAGUGGUUAGAGGUUGGGGUAGCAGGAGCACCUCAAUGUGUGCAUCACCAUGUGAAAAAGGCUGGGAAACACUGAGUUAAGGGACUAAUUAGAAACACUGCUGAGGGGCACCCGAGUGGCAGUCAGUUGAGCAUCCAACUCUUGACUUCGGCUCAGGUCUUGAUCCCAGGGUUGUGGGAUCAUGGGAUUGAGCCCCGCAUCGAUGCUUAAGACUCUCUGUCUCUCUCUCUCUCUCUCUCUCUGCCCCUCUCCCCCCACUUGCACACGUGUGCUCUCUCUCUCUCUCUCUCAGAAACAAACACACAACAACAAAAAAACCCUGGGUUAAAGGACUAAUCAGAAACACUGCUGAAAAGAACUAGAAAGAGACUGAAUGUCCAUAAAAAAGAUGAAGCUCCUCAUGUACCAACUAGAAAAUCUUCCAAGACACGUAAGUGAAAGCCAGCAAGAUCCAGGCAGUAUGUAAAACAUGCUACCAUCCACGUAAUAAGGAGGAUACACACACUUCAUGGAUUACCUAUGCAUACGGUACGCCUUUACGGGUACACCACAGUGGCUGGCCCUGAAGGGAACCCAGGAGGUAGAGAUAGAGAUGGGAAAAUUUAUCCCAAUGAACCCACUGAACUUCUGAAUUUUAAAGCAUGUGACGGCAUUAAAUUUUUUUGAAUUCUAUUUUAGAGGGGGAGAGAAAGUGGGUAAGGGAGGCAGGGAGGGGAAGGGGAAAGGGAAGGGAGAGAGGGAGAGAAAGAGAGAGAGACAGUCUCAAGCAGGUUCCACACUCAGUGCAGGGCCUGACGUGGGGCUCGAUCCUACAACCCUGGGAUCAUGACAUGAGCCGAAAUCAAGAGUUGACACUCAACCCGACUAAGCCACCCAGGCCCCCCCAAUAAUUUUUUUUAAUGUUUAUUUAUUUUUGAGAGAAAGACAGAGUGUGAGCAGGGAAGGGGCAGACAGAGAGGGAGACACAGAAUUCAAAGCAGGCUCCAGGCUCUGAGCUGUCAGCAGCCCCGAUGCAAGGCUCGAACUCAUGAACUGUGUGAUCAUGACCUGAGCCAAAGUCAGACGUUUAACCAACUGAGCCACCCAGGCACCCCAAUAAACUUUUUAAAGUUGCCAAAUCCACCUAUGCCUGGUAAUGACUAUUUUCUAUGCAAAACACCUUUAUGACUAAGUCAAAUGUUGAGUUAAAAUAAGAAAAGCAAGAUCUGGUUGCUGGUUACCCAGCUAUGUUCUCUUUGUGAAAAUCCACUGAGCUCUACACUUAAUUAUGAUCUGUGUACUUUUCCACAGGUAGAAUAUACCUCAAUAAAAAGUCAAACAUAAAAUGAAAAGGUUACUUAGGUCAACUGUCUUUUUGUUCCCUUAUUAAAAGGCCAGUAUAUGUCAUUUAUUUGCCUAAAAAAUUGUUUCAAAUUGUUCAGCAAUGUUUCUCAAAAGCAACCUCCUAUGACUUAGAUGUCAUGCCGAGCCCGUGUGACAAGGGGGCUCAGGUCUGCCUGCUCUGCUUCUCCAUCAGUAGUAACGGCCUCCAGUCCCACAUUCUCACUCUGGGCUGGGAGGGUUCAGUAAGCACUGAGGAGCAUUACUAAAAACCACCUUAUGGUUUACUGCAUUGCAAUUACAUUUUUAAAUUAUGAAAAUGAAAGUAUUUAAAGCCACUUAUCAAAAAUGCCAAAGUCACAAAGGAUGCAGACGGAGGCUGUGCAAACAGUCCAGACAGAAGGAGGCUACCUCUAGAGGCCUGACCGUCAAAUCCAACACCUGACCUGAGGCUGCUCCUGUGAUGGAGAAGGGAGAACUGUUACCCAGGACUUUGCUGCAUCAACAGGUAAAAUCGGAAUAUAAAUGGCAGGUUGAAGUCUCCGUGUUGAACUGAGCUUAGGCUGUACUAUGGUCAUAUGAGAGCAUUUCCCCACUCUUAGUCAAAAUACAAUUGAUGUUAGUUAAAGUAAAGGGCCACAAUGUUAAGUUACUCUUAAAUGAGGGACAGGCCUAUGUCCCUGUAUGCGGGAACAGGGGGAGACUCAGCAGCAGUGGCAAAUGAUCAUGUGAAUAGGGUAAAAUGUUAACAGCUUAAUUUGAGUCCAGGGUAUGUGGAUGUGCUUUGUGUUGGUUUUUUUUCUGUGAAAUUAAAAUUACUUCCAAAUAAAGUCUUUUAAAACCAUGUAUUAAUAAAUUACUACCAAUAAGAAUCAAAACAAGCUUAGAAAUGAAUCUGGAUUUUGAUUAUGACAGUUGCCUCUCAUGACGCAUUUUAAUGCCAAGGCACUAUUUCAAUUUGCAAAAAAAAAAAAAAAAAGUAAAAAUUACACCUUCUGGCUAGAUUUAUAAGAGCUAAAUAAGUACCUUCCAAGACCUAAAGCUUAACAUAAUUGUCUUUAACAUAAGACUCCACCUCAGUAAUUUCUCAUAAUGUGAACCUUAAUGGAGAAACUAGAUUUACAGGAAGUUUAAUAAAAGUUCUCAUCCACAUGAGGGAUUAAUCUUGCUUGAGUGGCAAACACAAUGAUAAAUCCUAGCUAACGAUGUAGGUUAAGAGCACUUAAAGCCCUACCAAAAAAGAAAACAGAAAUCAAAGGUCUAAUAAAAUGGUACAUGUCCCAAUAGAUCUAAUUCUUAGAAAUGACAAUGAUGAAGGACUACACAUGAAAGGCAAAACUUUAAAUUUACAGAAAAACAUACGGGAGACAAUUCCCAUCCCUCCCUCCAGGAAGGGAAAAUUUCUUACACAAAAAAGCACAAGCCAUACAGGAGAAGAGUGAGAAAUUAAACUACACUCAAAACUCACGAUCUGCAUGUGAAGUAAAGCCACAUUUAAAGGGAAAGGACGAGUCACUUUUGGGGAGAGGACAGGCCCCUGCAAAAGGAGCUCGCAAACUGGCAGCACCCAGGAAAAGCUCUGUCGUCAUCAGGCCUGUAAACACAUGGAGAGUAGCAGCGACACCACCCAGAGCUGACUGUCCCCUGGCUGCCCACAUGUCCUCCACACCCCCCAGAGAUCCUAGGGACAGGGAACUGGCCAGGGAGGGAGCCUCCUCUCCACCAGAUCCCUUUAACUAAUAAAAUCAUUCACCAGGUGCCUCCAGGCAAAGAGGUGGCCUCCAGUGUCCAGAAAGGAGGAUCCUCAGCACCCAGGUUCAGGCCUUAGAGAACUUUGGCGAUUAUGAGAGGACAGCCCUAAAACUACCUCCCAGCCCCUGCAGCCCUAGGACAAUAC